rnacentral:misc_RNA from 1 species
UUUAUAGAAGAAAUGAGAAAUUUGGGGAAAAUUUUGAGAAAUUAUGAGAGAUAUAGUAGCUAUGUAAGAGAAAAUACAUAAAUAAAGAAAAGAGAAGCAAAAUAUCAUUGUUUCCAUGUGAUUGCAACAGAGAAAUAAUUAAAGUAACAGCCGUUACCGUUACAAGAUGGUAAAUAACAGCCGUUAUCAUUACGUAACGGUCACAAAGGCCAUUACACCUGCAAUUACAUAUUUGUCUGUAAAAAACGGUGUAUUGCAUAACGGGCCCUUCCAAAACUUGUAAAUAACG